CCCUUUCCUCUGUUUUUCUCUAAAACUGUUUUCAGAAGUAGUUAAUGCUGUUUUGAUAAAAAUUCAACUCCAUACUGCUUGCUUUGCAUUUUUAGGAAAAUAAAGGCAGCUUUGGCUGGUGCUGGGAAGCCUGUUCCCGUAGAGCAGAGGACAGACAGUUCCCGGAGACCCUCUUAGCUUGAUGACAGGGUCUCUCGGAGCCUAGGCUGGCUUCUAGCUUGCUAUGCAGCUGAGAAUGUCCUUGAAUACUGAUCUUCCUGCCUUCAUCUUCCAACUCCUGUGAUCUUAAGCCUGGGCUAUAAACCAAGCUUCAUGGCCGCCACUCUGAAAACGCCACACGAUGCACAAGUGUGACAGAUCAGCCAGUAAAGGAACCUGCUGCCAAGCUGACCCAUGUGACUUCCAUCCCUGAGACCCACAUUGUGGAAGGAGAAAACAACUUUCACAAGUUGUCCUCUGACCACCGCAUACACACCAUGGCGUGUGCACAGACCAGGAUAAAUACAGACAGACUUAGGUCCCUGCCACCCCUUGGGAGAUCGUUCAGGACACCCCGUUUGAAGCCCUAAAUUCUGACAUGUUGGAUUGGUUACAAGGUCAGUUUCAUCACCGGAAAGUCACCUGGUGUGUUCGUGGUGUCUGUUUGUUUUCUCUGUCUGUCUG
rnacentral:lncRNA from 1 species